CUUGGCACAUGCUGCCCCGGUCUCAUAGAUUCUACGACACGAUCCUUCCGAGCCUGUGACUUCUAGAAGAAAAUUUGAUCUUGUUUUGCUGAUAUUUAUCAAUAAUGUGGAAAAGUACUAGUGCAGUGUAAUUUCUGCAUCGAAGACACAAAGAGGUAACAAGCUAGCUGGGGAUGUUAUUUGGAUUUUUGGUCAUACCUCUUCUUCCUUUUCUGUUUGCCGAAAAAGACAUCUCACCGCCUUUGGCGGAGCCCUGGAUAGCUUCGACCACUGUUCCUGGUGACAUCAUCAUCGGAGGUUUGUUCCCUGUGCACGAAAAAGGCGAGAAAACAGCAUGCGGCCACAAAAUCUACCACCGAGGCAUCCAAAGAAUGGAGGCCAUGAUGUUCGCCAUCGACCGAAUAAACGCAGAUUCCUCUAUAUUACCUAAUAUCACAAUCGGCGCACACAUCAUAGACACCUGCUCCAGAGAUACAUACGCACUGAAUCAAUCUCUUCAAUUCGUAAGAGCCUCUGCACUGAACAACAUAGACACAUCCAGUUUCGAAUGCCAAGACCACUCAAUUCCGAGACCUCGAAACAACUACUCAGGUCCAGUUUUUGGAGUAGUCGGAGGAAGCUACAGCUCGGUGUCCCUUCAAGUCGCCAAUCUUCUGGGCUUGUUUCGUAUACCUCAAAUAUCUCCAGCAUCAACGGCCAAAGCACUGAGCGACAAAAGUAGAUUUAAGUACUUUGCCAGGACUGUACCACCAGACACGUUCCAAUCUAGUGCUCUAGUUGAUAUUGUUAAAAGUGUAAACUGGUCGUAUGUGUCUACCGUUUAUUCAGAGGGGUCGUAUGGCGAAUAUGGCAUAGAAGUAUUUCAUAGAGAAGCUCAAGAACGCAACGUGUGCAUUGCGACAGCGGAAAAAGUUCCUAGUACUGCAGAUGAGAGAGAAUUUGAUAACAUUAUUAAUAAGCUCAAGAAAAAGGUCAAUGCAAGAGGUGUGGUGCUGUUCACCAGAGCAGAAGAUGCCAGGAGACUACUAAUGGCUGCUAAACGUGGAAAUGCCAGCAGCCAUUUCUAUUGGGUUGCGAGCGAUGGUUGGGGCAAACAGCAGAAACUGGUAGAGAGCCUAGAAGAGGUAGCUGAGGGUGCCAUAACAGUAGAGUUACAAUCCACCAACAUUCCAGAGUUCGACGCGUAUAUGACAUCUCUUACUCCUGAGGAAAACAAGAGGAAUCCGUGGUUCGAACAGUAUUGGGAAGAUUUUUUCCAGUGUACCUUGCAGAAUAACUUGCCAUUAGAAACAAAUGUCACCUUCAACGUAUGCAAUGAAGAUCUAAGAUUGAGACCUGAAUAUGGAUACGAGCAAGAAAGCAAAGUCCAAUUUGUCGUGGAUGCAGUGUAUGCAUUUGCACUUGCACUAGACAGGUUAUACAAGGAUAAGUGUUACGAAUUUGACCAACCAGGGGUUUGCCCAGCCAUGACGCAGUAUGAUGGAGGAGAUUUUUAUCAGACAUACAUCCUAAAUUUGAAUUUUACCGAUUUGGUUGGCAGCCCUGUUAAAUUUGAUAAAAGCGGCGAUGGUCUUGCCCGCUACGAUAUCCUAAAUUAUCAGCGUUUACCCAAUUCGUCAGGUUAUCAUUAUAAGGUUGUCGGUAAAUGGUUCAACUUCCUGGAAUUAAAUCAGGAGUUCUUAAUAUUCGAUCAUAAUCUAACUACGACUCCGGUUUCUGCUUGCUCGCUCCCUUGUGAAGUUGGAAUGAUAAAAAAGCAACAAGGCGACACGUGCUGCUGGAUAUGCGACAAAUGCGAAGAAUACGAAUACGUUUUUGACGAGUUUACUUGCAGCGACUGCGGUCCAGGUUAUUGGCCAUAUCCUGAUAAAACGUCCUGUUAUCAACUGGAGCUACAAUAUAUGCGCUGGGAUUCCGUUUACGCCAUUGUACCCACGGCAUUUUCGUGUUUGGGAAUUGUUGGAACUUUUGCGGUUAUCGGUUUGUUCAUCAAGCACAACGAUACGCCACUGGUUCGUGCAUCGGGUCGUGAGUUAAGCUACAUGUUGCUCUUCGGCAUAUUACUCUGCUACUUAAACACAUUCGCGCUACUCGCCAAACCCUCUACCGUGGUAUGCAUUACUCAAAGAUUCGGUGUCGGUGUCGGUUUCUCGAUAAUCUACGGGGCACUACUCACAAAGACUAACCGUAUAUCUCGGAUAUUCGAUUCGGCAUCGAAAUCGGCAAAGAGACCCAGCUACAUCAGCCCAAAAUCCCAAGUGUGCAUCACCUGCUCUUUGAUUGCCGUCCAAGUGAUACUUACUUUGGUUUGGAUGAUUAUUGAACCACCUGGCACCAGAUACUAUUAUCCUACCAGAAGAACGGUUAUAUUGAAAUGCAAAAUUCAAGACAUGUCGUUCCUGUUUUCCCAACUUUACAAUAUGCUCCUUAUUACUAUCUGCACGGUUUACGCGGUAAAAACAAGGAAAAUUCCGGAAAAUUUUAACGAAUCUAAAUUCAUUGGCUUCACGAUGUACACGACCUGUGUUAUAUGGCUGGCCUUCAUCCCCAUUUAUUUUGGCACUGGAAAUGCUUAUCAGACACAAAUCACUACGCUAUGUGUGGCCACCAGUAUGAAUGCCACCGUUGCCCUUGUGUGCUUGUAUUCGCCCAAAGUCUACAUCAUUGUAUUCCAUCCGGACAAAAACGUCAGGAAGUUGACAAUGAAUAGUGCAGCCUAUAAGAAAUAUAACGCCCAACCAUCAACUUCUUAUGCUACGUCAUCUAUUUCAACUAGGGGAACACCAGGUGAGAAUAUACCUAUGGAACGCGUUGGAGCUGCAACUCCAUCAAGAAGUUCAUGUGCCGGUGUCCAAACUGACCCUCAAGAAUCUGCCGAGCCAUCUGAUGCUAUAUCACUACUCUGAGAAUUAAAGAAGACCGAGCCGGAAAAAAAGAAAAAAGAAAUGACGGUUGUUUUCUCCGAUGACCACAAUACUCUGGAUUAAUUUUCGACUGCUAAAUCUACAUUCUUCCUGAUAACAGUGAUAACUUUAAGAAGGAAAUUCAAGACAUGUCUAGAUCAAAUUGUGAUUCGAUCAGUAAAAAUUCCUUGAAAUUAUUUUUAUAUUUACAAUAUUAAUUUACAAUACUCGAUAGAAUCACAUUUGCGAAGACUUAUUUUUAGUGGUUUGAAAAAUCUUCAUAAAAAUAUAAGGCCGAUUAAUAAUGAGAUAUGAAACGAUUAUAUCAUACAGACUCCUAAUAAUUUGACUCGUGUUAGUUUCAACCUUAAGCUAAGUUAACGUAAGGUCGAGAAUAAUUAUGCAAUAGCAAAGUGUCAUAUAUACUAAUCGGCCUUAUUGGAUAAAGUAGAGUGAAUUACGUGAAAAUGUGUGAUAAUAUACAGGGUUUUUUCACCUAACCUGUUCGUUAAAAUAUUAUUAUUAUUAUUAUUUGUUAAUGUUAUUUAUUAUUUAUUCAAUCUACUGGUUGUGUGAGAAAGCUGUAUGUACCUAGCUCUAAAUAUUUUCAAAAGGGCAUGAAACUAGUCAUAACUAUCGGAGAUUCAAAAAUUAGUAGUUGAAAUUGUUUAAAACAUUACAUCGCAACGUUUUAAACAUUUCAAAAACAUGUUGCUGUUUAUGGUAUAUAUAUAAAAACUUCAUUUGCAUUUAUUAUGCAAUCUUUUAUUUUUAUUAUAGCUUUAAGAAUUGAUAAAGAAAAUGGUGUUAAUUAAUUGAUCUGGAAUAUAUAAUUAUGAAAAAACAAUGUACAGCUCGUCAAAUAUAUAAUAAUACAAUAUACAUAAUUACUUGUUACAGUUAUAUAAUGGAAUUCAUCAAUAUACUGAACAGGCUGGCAUGUUGCUAUUCCAAGAUGAUAACUCCUCCUUGAAUAAAUCUUUUUUUGGAAUACUUUUUAUUUUUUAAAUUUCCAAAGGUUUUUUUUAUAAUAUAGACUUUAACAUAAAAUCCAAGAAAAUGUUUCUUACAUUAGCUACUGCGCUUUGUGAGAAAAACGUUAUGCUGCGAGCGCACAUGCGGUAGUCGGCGAUUUCCGAGCACUCGUCAACUACCGAGCGCUCGUCAUCGGACUUCGCCUUUCCGUCCACACAUGCGGGCAUCGCAUGGCCGAGCUCUGAUCGGAAGGGUCUAUCAUGUGGCAUGUGUGACACAUUGGCCUGCAUGUGUGGACGAAAAGACGAAGUCCGAUGACGAGCGCUCGGAAAUCGCCGAUUGCAUGUGCGGUCGCGGUAUUUAUUUGACGAGCUGUAAGGUUAUAGAAUGUUGAUACUCUCUAAUAAUAUAUUUUAUCAAAAACAUACUAUAUAAUUGAGAUUGUUUUUUAAAACCCUUUGACAGGAGACUCGAAAUCUAUCCAUGUUGUAGGUUAAAUAAAACCUCAAAGGUAUAUCCAUUUUACAAUUAUUUUUUUGAAUACGGAUGCGUACUUCAUAAAUAUUAGUAAAAUUUAUGUUGGCAUGUAAAUACAUCGUACCUGCUAAUUUAAAUAUAUUUUUUAAUAUAAGUAUGACAAAAAAAUUGUGUAAGAUAUGCUCAAGCCUAUAAAUGGGUGUACAACAUUUAUCGAUUUAUUUUAUAUAAUUUCUUAUUUUUUGUGUAUUUUUUUCUUGUAUAUUAAUUAUACCUUACCAUUCUUACAAAGUAUAGCAACGGGUUAUUUAAAUACUCUUAAUUACUUUUUAAUUUUAAUAUAUUUUUGUCUUCUUAAUUUUGAUACAAAACGAUCUCUAUAUCUAUCAAAUAUAUCUAUCAAAUAAUUGGAAGGUAGAUAAUUUUUAUUCGUGUUUAUAAUAUAUGUAAAUAUCAAGUUACUUUUUGUCUAUUCAACUGCAAAAAAAGGAUAAAUGUAAAAUGCUCAAAUAUCUUUUAUUAUAAUUAAAUAGAUUUUUGUUUAAUUUAUCAUGAAGUUUCUCGACAUAUCUACUAAUAACUACUCACUGAAGGGCGACAAUGGACUUAAAACGUUUAAACGUUGGACGUUAAAAAUCAAAAAGCGUUUGAUGCAAGAUGCAACUUAUGUCUCCAGCUGUUAAACGCAGGGUGUAUUAUUAAUUAUCCCUGGGUUACAUAUAAUAAUAAAUGCUGACAAUUAAUGCAGUUUAAUCGAAAGUAGAGGAAAAAAAUUCGCAAAAUGAAAUAACAAUAAAAAAAUACUAAAAAAAUACUAUAUAAAUAUUUCAUGAAACUGAACAAAAUUAUUUUGAACGACACGCAAAAAAUUAAGCCUUAAAUAAUGCAUAAUAUAGCCCUCUCGGCUCCUUAUAUAUUUAAGAUGAAAAUUCCCUAAAGUUCUAUUUUAGAAUAAUAGAUUGCAUCCUAUUCUCACAUUUACGCAAGGAAGUUGUAGAAGUUACAAAAGAUAAGAGUGAGAAAAUCAUAAUUUUGCCUUUAUUAUUUCUCUCUACUCCUACAGAGAAAAAAACCGAAAUGUAAUUAAAUGUUCUGUUUUUAAAUUGUUUUUAUUUAUUAUAAAAAAUGGGAAUUAAAUUAACUAAUAAAACUUAAAAUACUAAAAAGUCUAUCACUAGGUGAAAAGUCAUCACCCUAAAAUUAACGUGGAAUCUUUUUUAGCGUAUUUUUUCAAAUAUUAACAGAGAAAUACUAUGACAUAGAAAACCACUAUAAGCCGGUGGAAGACUUUAUUUCAUCUAUCUACAGUGUAUUUUUGCAAGGGUAAAUAUUAGGUCUUAUAAUCUCAUUUAUACUGCUAGGGUCUGACGAUCAGUUUUCCUUGACACGGUCUUUCCAUAUAUUCAGAGAAAAAAAAAGGAAAAUUUUAUUUAUAGACUUUGAUAGGAAAAAAAGGAGAAGUUUGAUCUUGACGUAAGGUUCAAUAGAAAGAACUUUUAUUUAUACAGAGAAUAAAAUUUUGGCAAACUUGCAUACCAAAGGACACCUAAAAAUGUUAUCAAAUAAUAUUCACGUUCAUGUGGAUAGGAUAGCUUUUUGUAAAAAAAAUCUUCUACAUUUUUAUACAGGGUGAGUCUUUUUGAAAAUUUGGAUUUUUUUGAAAAAAAAAUUAGAAUUUUUUUAAUUUUUAGUUAAAAAAUAUAUCUUCAUUAUAUGGCAACAUAGUAGAUUAAAUUUAAAAGAAGGAAACCCCAGAAAAGAUCCAGCAGUAGAAAGUAGUAGAAAAGCAGUACUUAUACAGAAAAAUCAUUCUUUUUGAAAAGUAUGUCGAGAAACCGUAAAUACAAAAAUAAAGCAAUAAGAGAUGUAAACCAUAUUUCGUAUUGCUCAAGUAAACAAGAAUCACUAUUACAGUAACAAAAAUGCUUGUAUUUUCUAAGUUAUUCGAUAGAUUUUUAUUUAAUUAGGUCUAAGUUUGAAUUCCGUUCCUAUACUUAAGUAUAUAAGUCAUAAUUUGUGUGGAUAUGAUGCAACAAAACAUUCCUUUCAAACGAAAUACUCCCAUUCUAUAAGUUAAAUAAAUAAAAUAAAUAAAGAUGAAUUUAUGACAGUAAUAUAUUGGUAUACUAUGUACUUGCUGUAUGUGAUUAAUAAAAAUAUAUUUAAUGAGAAGAUGAAGAUGAAGAGAAUGUUUAUUUACUGGAAACUAUAAAAAUAAAAAUUUAACAAUAACCAAAUGAUUUCCUGUAAACGUCAAUCAGUGUACUCUGUUCUCUAUUAAUCUAUGCAAAAUUUUAUUGGAACAGUUGAUAUGGAAAUUACCCAUAGCCGUUUUUUCUCUAGUGGAAAAACAAAAUGCCCCAACAAAGCAUUUUUUAAUAAUAAAGCAUGAACUGUACUAAAAAUUGGCAGAUUGUGCAAUAUAAUCUGGAAUAUAUUUUCAUAAGGUUAAAGAUAUUAAAGAUAUAAAUUUUACGUUAAGCUAUAAUUGAGCAUAUAAAAAUGCAGAGAAUCUUUCACCUUAUUAUGAAACAUAAGUGUGUUGUUAUUGUUGUCAAUUAAAAUAUAUAAAUUUCUUUGAAUUUAAACUCUCUCCAUAUCUGAGUAAUGAUGAUUCAAACUUUCAUUGUUUAAAACGUGUGCUAUGUAGAAGUCUCCUAGCGUUGACAUAUUAAAUCUUACUUUCUUUCCAGAGAGCGCUCUUGCUUUGCUAAGUCCCUUGUAUAAUACGUUAGUAAAACCCAACUAUUACUGAUAUGAUAUACUAAAAGAUCUGACUUUGCAUAUCAUACUUUACGAUAAAAUUCAAUGAAACAAAGUUUAAAAAAGAAUCUUAAACCUAAGAUUACAGCUAUCUUUUCAAAUGGUGAUACCUCAGCGACAUCAUCGCUUCUCCCAAUUUGGAAACCAUCCAAUAACUUGUGAGAGUUUACUAGUGAUACUUGUCAUCAAUCCAAAAUUACGUGUUAACACCUAACUGCUGAUAAUUUUGACCAGUGUUUGAACUAUCAGUACUCAGUUACUAACGUGUCUACACACAGGCUAGUAUUUUGAAGCUGAACAGUUAACAUGUUUAUCCAACAGAAAUGUUAAUCAACAACUAAUCGUUAAAAAAUAAAUCAAAGUGGUACCAAUAUUCAGACACCUGUACUAGUGUACUAGUCACAAAAUACAGUGGAUGAAAUUAGGAAGUUUAUUGAAUUUAUUUAAUCUGCAUUUACAUCUAAUAUCUAGUGAUAAAACUGUUCUGCUUUAUUAAUAUAUUUCCUUAAACGUGUGUAGCCGCCAUAUAUAAGAUCUAUCAAUAUCUUUCAAUGUUUUCUUCAUUGUGUCAUUUCAAAGUUUAAUAAAUGUCUCAAUAAUUGUUUGACUGUCUCAAAAAUCAGUAUUGAUAUUUAUUGAUGUAAUUUACACGCUUAUGAAUAUGAUAUUAUUGGUGUAUGUCCGUAUCUUAUCGACACACAAAACAUAGAGCAUUUAUAUUUACAUGAUGGAAAAUACAUGUCAAUUUAAUAUCAGUCUGAAUUAAUUUCCUGUAUUGGGUGGUGAUGACAUAACUCUCCCAUUAGCAGUAUCAACCAACCAGACUUUCGUUUGUAGAGGGUGUCCCAAAUUUAAUUGGCACAACAGAAAUGAUUAAUUGGUAAUAUUCGACAAUGAUUUUAUGUUUUUUGAAUUGAUAAGAUAGCAAUAUAAUACCCCCAUUCCAGAAUAGACUACCUAUAUAUGUGUAUAUAAAUGGAGCUUCAAAUAUAAGUGUGUGUUUAGAUGAGUAUUAAAGUGUUAAGAUAAAUUCUAAAUAAAUGUAUAUAUACAGGAUGGUUCCUUUUUAUGAAUUUAUGACUCAAUUUUAGAAUUGCUUACGUGAAGAAAUGUAAAGCAAGUGAUAAUGGCCCCAUCCUGUGUACGAUGUAAAUAUUUUAUAAUUAAUGAAACAUAUCAAUUUUAAUUAUUUUUAGAAAGCUAAAUUCUGACUGUAAGAAAAUGUAUAUAUAACUGAAAUUAUGUAUCAAUUAUUUUUUGGAGAUUAGUUACCUUACAAAUGUCAAAAAAAUAUUUUAUUAACAUUAAAAUAUCAAAUAAAACAAAAUUUAAAUGACAAACAAAUUAUUAUUAAAUUGAUAUUAUUUUUGGUUCUAAUAUUAUAACUUGAAAGUGUCAAAUGUACCUUCUGCUUAGGUAUAAGUGAAGUGUAAAAGCUUCAAUUCAAUAUCAAAUGUUAGAUGUCUUGGUUUAAAAUGUUCGUUAAGAACUAGUAAUAAUAAUUAAGAAUGGUAAUAUUUUACUGAUUCUGUUUUCCUUCAAUUAUUGUGUUACUUUCUGCGAUAGACAUUUGUCAGUAUUAAUGAAGUACCUAAAACUAGAUAUAAGAAAAAAAUAUAUAGUAACAAUUACCAAAGUUUUUAAGUUUACCAAUUUUUCGCUAUGGAAAAACAUGAUUUUUUUUAGUUUUAACCUAAAAAUAUAAUAUGUCCAUCCAAUAUUAUGAUAUAUUUGUAACAUAACAUAAUAUGAAUGACUAUAUGUAAUUGCCGUUAGAUACAGGUCUAAUUUUUAUGAGCACUGAAUAAAAUUUUUUAUAUAAAAAAAAUAAAAAGGUAUAGCAAACUGCUAUAAUUAGGUACACUAUAUCUAAUUCUUAAUCAAAUGGUAUUAGAAGUAAAUAUAUAUCUUAUUCAGAAAAGAAAAAUAUUUCCAGGAUAUUUCAGUGCUCUUAAUAAACAUCAUCUCUGUGCUUAUCUAAAUAAAUGUUAUUAAAAUAU
rnacentral:misc_RNA from 1 species